AUUGAACGCUGGCGGCAGGCCUAACACAUGCAAGUCGAGCGGGGUUUUCGGACCUAGCGGCGGACGGGUGAGUAAUGCGUAGGAAGCUACCCGAUAGAGGGGGAUACCAGUUGGAGACGACUGUUAAUACCGCAUAAUGUCUACGGACCAAAGUGUGGGACCUUCGGGCCACAUGCUAUCGGAUGCGCCUACGUGGGAUUAGCUAGUUGGUGGGGUAAUGGCUCACCAAGGCGACGAUCCCUAGCUGGUUUGAGAGGAUGAUCAGCCACACUGGAACUGAGACACGGUCCAGACUCCUACGGGAGGCAGCAGUGGGGAAUAUUGGACAAUGGGCGCAAGCCUGAUUCAGCCAUGCCGCGUGUGUGAAGAAGGCCUUCGGGUUGUAAAGCACUUUCAGUAGGGAGGAAGGGUGUUGUGUUAAUAGCACAGCAUUUUGACGUUACCUACAGAAGAAGCACCGGCUAACUCUGUGCCAGCCGCCGCAGUAAAAC
rnacentral:rRNA from 1 species